rnacentral:lncRNA from 1 species
UGAUCCGAUUUAAAAUCCAAAAUUACAUCGGUUCAACCGAUUUAAAAAACGUUAUUUUAAAUCUGUUCAUAUCUCACCCGAUUUAAAUUCUAUUAAUUUUUUUCUUUUACUAUUGUUUCUUGAGUAACAUACACCAAAAUUUAUUUAAUCCAAAAAUCCAAAAUCAUCCAUUAAUAACAUAAAGUUACAAAAUUAUACUUCUACACUAAAAUCAUCAUACAAUAAUAAUAGAGUACCAUACACCUAAUAGCAAAAAUUAUACUUAUAUAUACUAAAAUCAUUCCAUAAUAGUAGAGUUAAUAUCAUAUACCUAGAAUCAUCAAUUAUAAAUCAUAAAGUUACAAAUUUAUACUUGUAACCUCGAUUUCUUCUAUUUGUAUGCUUAACUUUGUCUCCUCCUUUAACAUUUAACUGAUAAGUUGGUUUCGGGAGACCAUUCUUAAAAUCGCUGGGUUGAAUCAAUCCUCUCCAUAUUUCCACAGGGAUGUCCUCAGACCUUUUAAUUCUGAAAAGGAAAAAAAAGAAGAAGAUAAACUCAGCUCAACAUAGAAGCCUAAUAAAAUUGACAACUUAGAGAAAAUAAAGCCUAGAAAUGACAACAACCAAUAUCACAAAAAUCAAUUAGCAGCAGUACUCNNNNNNNNNNNNNNNNNNNNNNNNNNNNNNNNNNNNNAAAUCUCUUUAAAAUACUAUGAUAAUGAUUACCAACACAUAGUUAACUAGCAAUCAGCCAAGAUGGGAAAUUGAAACUUAAACAUCAGCCCUCUCUACAAUGAAACAAAGAUGAUGGCAUUUAAGAGUUAGAUAUGAUCGUUUUUUUCACCUAUAAAGAUAUAAUUAAUUUAAAAAUUGAGUCUUUAUUCCAAUCUACAUACUUUUCGGUUGAUGAUGGCAUCAUAAACCUUACUAGUGUUCUUCUAUCUAGCCUCUCUAUACAGCACAAUCUUUUCAAAUGAUGAAAUAAUAUUCUGACAAACUCAUCACCAUCACCUCCGUGGUGAAACUUUUAAAGUCUUAAUAUACAGAAAGAUUCAAUCAAGAAAGAUCUUAAUAUAAGAUAUAGAUAUUACCUUUAACUCUUAAUUUUUUCAACUCCUUGCAAAAACUAAGUCAUGCCAAUUGCCAAUUAUUCCAUAAAAACAUAACAAGAAAUGCCUGCAAGAUAAGAAAGAAUCACAAUAGAAAAGAACAAAUCAAUAGAUCAGUGCCAAAGAAUAGUAUCAGUUUUACUUGUGAUAUAUACUAAGCAUUAGACACAUUUUCUAAUUCUACCAAAUGCUAACUAAAGACAAACAAAAGGGUAUGCUCUAAGCUAAAGACAAACAAAACUUAUAUACUCAUAAUAAAUGGUGUCUGACUAUUGAUAGUGAU